AUUGAACGCUGCGGCAUGCCUUACACAUGCAAGUCGAACGGCAGCACGGGAGCAAUCCUGGUGGCGAGUGGCGAACGGGUGAGUAAUAUAUCGGAACGUGCCCAGUAGUGGGGGAUAACUGCUCGAAAGAGCAGCUAAUACCGCAUACGACCUGAGGGUGAAAGGGGGGGAUCGCAAGACCUCUCGCUAUUGGAGCGGCCGAUAUCAGAUUAGCUAGUUGGUGGGGUAAAGGCCUACCAAGGCAACGAUCUGCAGUUGGUCUGAGAGGACGAACAGCCACACUGGGACUGAGACACGGCCCAGACUCCUACGGGAGGCAGCAGUGGGGAAUUUUGGACAAUGGGCGCAAGCCUGAUCCAGCAAUGCCGCGUGCAGGAAGAAGGCCUUCGGGUUGUAAACUGCUUUUGUCAGGGAAGAAAUCCUCUAGGUUAAUACCCUUGGGGGGAUGACGGUACCUGAAGAAUAAGCACCGGCUAACUACGUGCCAGCCGCCGCGGUAAAAC
rnacentral:rRNA from 1 species